GGUACUUGUGUGUGUUUGUCUUAGCCUGUGGACUAAAAUUUAAUAGGUGCAAAAACUAAAUUCUCUUUUGCAACACAUAACUCAUUGUUCUGAUGAGCUUUGAUACAUAUAAGAAGGAAUACC
ensembl:snoRNA